rnacentral:ncRNA from 2 species
UAAUUUUACAUCGCAUUUGGUCUCCGGUUUUUGUCCGGAGUUAAAAGGGAAUCAGGUGAAAAUCCUGAACAGGCCCGCUGCUGUAAGCUCAGUUAAGCAUUCUAUGUUUAGCUAUGUCCGUCAACCUAACGCCACUGUUGCAGAGAUAACUCUUAAAAAUGGGAAGGCGACGGAAAAGAGUAAGUCAGAAGACCUGCCAAAGCAUUCAAUUUAUU